rnacentral:rRNA from 1 species
CGUAACACGUGAGCAACCUACCGAAAUGAGGGGGAUAGCCGGCCCAACGGCCGGGUAAUACCGCAUACGCUCGAGGAGAGGCAUUUCAUCUCGAGGAAACCUCCGGGGCAUUUCGAGGGGCUCGCGGCCUAUCAGCUAGUUGGUGAGGUAACGGCUCACCAAGGCGACGAUCAGUAGCUGGUCCUGAGAGGACUGAUCAGCCACAUUGGGACUGAGACACGGCCCAA